rnacentral:rRNA from 1 species
GCUUGUCUCAAAGAUUAAGCCAUGCAUGUCUUAGUGUAAAUAACUCUUAUGAAACUGCGAAUGGCUCAUUAAAUCAGUUAUCAAAUACGUGAUGGUCGCCUACUACAUGGAUAACCGUAGUAAUUCUAGAGCUAAUACAUGCACAAAGGCCCACUCACGUGGGUUGUGAUUAUUAGAUUCAAACCGGCCUCGUUCUGGUGAUUCAUAAUAAUUGGUCGAACCGCAUGCCCUUGUGGUGGCGGUGAUUCAUCCUUAUUUCUGCCCUAUCAACUGUCGACUGUGAUAUAGACGCUCACAGUGGUUUUGACGGGUAACGGGGAAUCAGGGUUCGAUUCCGGAGAGGGAGCCUUAAAAACGGCUACCACAUCCAAGGAAGGCAGCAGG